CUUUCACUGAUAUUGUUGUGAUACGUUUUACUGUUUUGAAACACUAAUAUUUGUAUUCAGCAAAGUCUCCUUAGUAUAACAGUACCCCCUCAUGCAUAGGUUUUAUAGUGUUUUUUAUAGUUACAGGGUCAAAUAUAAGGCUUCAUUUUCCAUUUUUCCACAUUUAAAUUUGCCAGACUGGUUAUGUUGCCUUUGAGAGUGUCUGCUAGCCCAGGGAUGAGAAUUACCCCCAUGAUGGCAUACCAUUUGCAAAAGAAGACAACCCAGGGUAUUCAAUAUGGG